CCCCGGACCGGGGCGCGAACCCGUGUUCCCUGCAUCGGCAGGCGGACUCUCAACCGCUGCGCCACCAGGGAAGCCCUUACCUUGUUAUUUAAGUGAGGGCUCCCAUAGGGAGGAGGAGGAGGGUCUGUGUAGAAAAUGCUCUUUCCUAGCUCUUACUCUCACUCUCCCCACUUUGGUUUUAGGCCCCUUCAGUGUUUUACCCAGAUGAGAAAGUGAUUUAGGGAAAAGAGCCUUAUAAGAGGACACUAUGCACCAGGUUAGGAAAAUACUUAGCGCUGGCUUUCGACCUCAUGAGCUACUUUUGUAGAUUUAAAUACAUGAAUAAUGAGGUUUGGGGGAACUUCAAUAGCAACUCCCAAGGUGGAGGGAAAUGGGAGGACUUUCGUCCUGGGACAUCACCACUCAGCUCCUGUGUGUUCCUUAUGCAGACUUUUUUUUUGUUGUGGCCAUUGCCCCGUCAUCGUGGUUUGUGACUAUCUUGAGCAGAGUUCCAUUUCUGAUGGCUCUAGGCUUUCUCUUAUGGUCCACAGCCAAGCCUCUGGAACCAUAUGUGGCACUAGGACAGUUUGCUUCCAGUGCAUCUCACUGUUUCUCUGCUCUUGUGACUCACAGCCACAUUGUCUCUCACACUUAGGUUUCUUAAAUGGGAGUCAGAUACAAGUGCACCACGUUCCCAGUUGUAGUGAUCACAGCACAUACUUUCUGAGCAAUCACCUUACAGCUUUCUCUGUGGGCCUGAAUUCAAGAGGAUGGAUACAGCCUUUACCCAUCUCCCAAGGGGAGGGCUUAAAAAGUUUUUAUACGUUUACAACAUUCUCAGAUUUUUUCUGCAAAAAUAUUUCUCUUCCCAGUGUUCUUUGACUUUGAUCUUCAUUAUCGGUCUGUGGGUGUUGGAUGAAGGGUCCCCACACAACUUUGGGGGCACCCCUUUUAUAAGUCUGGCAUAAGUCUUUGGAAUAUAGGGGAAAGGGCACCAAUUCUUUGGUUGUUGACCUUCAUGGGCCCACCUGAAAUUAACAUAAAGGAGUCCUCUUUUGCCAUUCAGGUACACAGGUAACAGUGAAGUCUGGGUUAUAGGAGGGAUGCAAUCUGCUAGGCUCACACUCAGGCCCUUCUGCCUGUACGUGAAGAAAUCACCAGUAAUGAUUUUCUGAUGUAUCUCUCUGUAGUUAAUAGAAACAUCAGAGAUGGGUUUGUUUUGAUUUCCUCUAGAGAUACAUUUACCUCAAACAUCCUGAUAAUACUCAUAAAGUCAAGGAUCUUUUCUGGCACACAAGCAACAUAGUGCUCCAGAUUUUCAUCCGUGAGUUUUGGGAAGACCUAAGUGGUACACAAACUUCUCUCAACAUAUUUUUAGUGCUCUGCUCACAUCUCCCAUUACUGGCUGGUUCCCACCUGCUGCUGGAGUACUGAAGCCAAUGAUUUACACCUGUGGCCGCUGAGGAAUUGCCUUUGUCAGACGUUAACCAGGUCAGCUCACCUGGAGAUGACUAGGAAAUUAAACCCUUUACCCAGGAGCAGCCCAUAAACCAUAGGGUAUAAAAGCCAGGCUUCUUGCUUCAAGACGCUGCCGUGGGAUCAAACUUCCAAGUUUCGCCUUUGGAUGAAGCCAAGGGAAAACAGGCAGGGGAAGCUGCAGCCCUCUACCACGACUUGCACACUCACCUGGCCGAGAACUAUAAGAAGCUGGAAGGAGACUCCCCAUAUCAUCAAAAGGAGACCGCAGAUGGGAGCUGUAUCCAAGUACCAAGUCUUGAGUCAAGAUGGGUGUUGAGAGAAAACAGGCAGACCACAAGAAUAUUGUUAAAACCAUUUUAUGGGCUUCCCUGGCGGCGCAG